GAAAGGGCGGAGGCCACAAACAAGGUCCACGGGUUCACCCAAGGGGGUGAAGGGAGCCAGGCCCCUGGGUCUGCCCAGCCCCGGGAGCAGGCUGGGCACGGGAGCGAUGGUCUUCAGCCCUGACGGCUCCUUCCAAGUCUCCUCCUCCACUGCCUCGGGGUCCGCGUAUUCCCGAAUCUUCUGAGCCCCCAUUACACGAUCAAGCGGGCAAUGUGUCCCUAAGGCCCAGCCCAUCUUUUCAGAGGGGCCUUUCCCGUAAACCCCAAGGCUAAGAUCAGCCAGAGAGGCAGACUCAUGAACCCUGGGUCAGGCUUUUGGCUGCAGAGCAGACCACGUGGCCUGGCCGCCCCGGGGCUGCUGAGUCAGGAGAGGCACAGCCGGGAGGGAGCGGCGGCCUCAGCCCCCCUUACUUCUCCCCGACUCUCCCCUAACAGGCGCUCUGGCCCUAUCCUGGCUCCGCGGGGAGCUGGCUCUGGGACCGGAGGCUGUCCUUCCCGCUCAGGGCGCACGCCUCUCCAGUGUCAAAUGAAAGGGCUCGGCGCCAGGGCCUGUAGGUCCCUUCUGGCCCCUUCUGCCGCCCUCAGCUCCCCGGCCUGAGCCCGGGGCCCAGGGUCUGAGCCCAGGGUGGGGCCGGAAGGGGCUGCCGCUAGAAGAAGUUGACCACCCUGCGGACCGACUGGACGCGAGAGCUGUGGGCCUCCCAGUCCGAGUAGUUGCGGAAGUCACCCCGCUCCACCAGGUACAUGCGGCCGUGGUAGUUGGGCUCCUCGUACAGGACCCACCUGCGGCCAGAGGGAGGCCAGGCGGCCGUGAGCCGCUGAGCAGCACAGGGUCUGACCGCCUCCCGCCUGCCCGCCACCCCUCACCCCUCCCGGCCAAUGUGGGGGCCCGAGCUGAGGGGGAGAGGUGUGGGGCAGGGCCUGUGGGGCUGGCCUCUCCUCCUCCCUUCUGAUGCUCCCUCACCCUUGGCUCUUCCACCGCGGGGAGCAAAGCGGGGCUACACGCCCCGAUCCGGUCGCUGGGGUCCUUCCGGCCCAGGCCAUGGGUGCCCUGACUCUGUCUUUGCAGCGAACCCCACUGUGGCCCUCGCCCCCCCCAAAGCACUCGGCUGCUGAAGGAGCCUUCUCCUGGCUGAGACACAGACUCAGAAUUUCUGAGCCCAGCCCGCCCAGAGAAGGGAGUGACUGCCCAAGUCACACGCCACCCCCCUCACCACCACCCCACCCCCCAGUCGCCUGCUUAGGGCAGCUUCCCCGGCCACCCCCUUCCUGCCCCAUCCCGACUCCACAUCUGGCUCCUGGCGCAGUCCGCACAAGGGUCAGGGGUCAGGAAUGAAGAGAGAGGCCCAGUACGUGAGCCGCUGGGGAGCUCAGGGCAGACCUGGCUCACCCUGGCCUCCCCACACCCCUAGCCUUCCUGCCCCUCCCCCCUCCUCCCCCUCCUCAUGCCCGUGGGUGGCUCAGGCCCAAGGUUUCGGGGCGUAUAUGCAGGAGUCCCCAAAAGGAAGAAGAGGAAGGACAGGCUGGGCCUCUGCAGUAAACGUCUCCCGGGCUUCCUGCUGUGACUUUGGGGACCAGGCAUGAAGAGGGAGGGAGGAGGGGGCGUGGCCCAUCCACAGCAGGGACUGUGCUCUUUAGGGGGGUAGCAGGAAGUAGGGAGAGCGACCUGGCACAUUUCCCUCCAAAUGCCCCCCAGAACCCGUGUCUGUGGGGACAGGUCGAUCCUGAGCUGACUCAGGAACCAGUGGAACACCGCGGCUGGUGUCUGGGAGGUGGUAGGGAGACCUGCCUGGAGGCUCCCCAUCAGACCCCAGGAAAGGGCUUGACGGAGGUCACCACCCCCAGACCCGGUGGUCCAGGCCAUCACCCUGGCCAAGGGCUUACUUUUUUUUUUUUUUUUAAAGGUAGUCACAGGAGCAAAGGGUGAACCCCCGUAGGGAGGAGAGCAGAGCCCUGGGUGAGACGUGGGGCUGGCCAUACACAGCCGCUGAGUAAGCGGGAGCUCCGGGAGACCCCGGGCCCCUGCACUCAAAACUCUUAGCUCCCACCCUCCCCCGCCCCCUUUUCCUAAAGAGGCCCCUGGAGUCUUCCCAGGGUGGGUGUUGGGGGACUGUGGCUGGGGUCUCAGGACACCUUCCUCGCAAAGGUAUGACUCUGGCCUCGCGAGACAUAAUUUAGCCGGUCGUUUUUCAGGCAAACUGUUGUUCUGGAAUUCUACCCCCGGAUUCCCAGAGGCCUUCAACUGAGGGCAAACAUUUCUGAAAGGCAGGGAAAGGCAGACAGGAGAAAAGGAACCCUGGAUAGAGUCAGAGUGACAGAGAAAUAGCAGGGAGGGAGCUGAGUCCCCCUGGGACUCUGGGAAGGAGGAGAGAACCCCCCGGGGGGGGGGCCCGGGGAGGCGAGGGGUCCAGUGCUCCCUCUGGCUCAGCCACAACCUCCAUUCAGUCCCUCCCGUGACCACUCCUGACCCUCUCGCGACGUGCCCUGAUCCCCCACCUCGGGCACGCAGACAGCAACUGGACCCCUUGGCUGCUGUCACGGGAGCCACGUUCCCGGAACCCGUGUGGGGCUCUUCUGCAGAGGGGCCGGGACUGAGGUCAGGGGAGGCUCCCUGCUCCACACCGGGGACACUCUGACUUGACGCCUGGCUGCCACCCCUGCUGUUCACGAGCGAGCAGGGGCAGGUCACUUUCGGAGCCUCCGCUUGCUCCUCUGUAAACGGAGAUGACGCUACCCACUGGCUCACAGGAGGAACUGACUAUACGGGGGGCUGGCAGAAGCCAGGCCAGCACGGGGGUCCUGACCACUCUCCAGGAGCAGGGCAGACACGCCCUGGGCAAAACCCCCGUGGCCACAACCUGUCCACCGGAAGUGAGCCGCCAUGACGUCCAGCUCCCCGGAGGGGCUGUGUGGCAGGGGUCUGCCCGCUCGGUAGGAGAGCUCCAGCUCAGGGGUCCCCUUGGCCGAGUAGGACCGGGGUGUGCAGGGUGAGCGGGCUUCCUCUGGUUCGAGGGGACCAAAGUACUGUCCCCGAGCUCAGUCUAAUCUUAGAGAACCGUUAGUCCGCAAAGGGCCCUGCUACGUCUGCUCCCACUGGGGAGGCCUACCUCUGGGGCCCCAUGUCUCCUCACCACGGCCUUCUGGAGCCACGGAGGAAGCCUCCCCGCUGCUUGACUGGGGUAGAGGAGGCAGCUGAGGGCGUGCCGGGCCUCCCCCACUGCUGGGGUCGGGCCCGCCCGGCGGCCUCCCCACACACUUGGCUGUGCAGGGCCCAGCCGGGCCGCGGUCGGCGGCCUUGCGGCCUCUACUCACGCGCCGUCCCCAUACACCUUGACGGCGUUGACACAGUUCUUGGCCCAGCCCCGGCUCUGCAGGAAGGGACAGUCGUCCUGAAACUCCAGGCACUGGCCGGUGAAGUUGCACCCCUCGAAGAUCUCCAUGCGGAAAUUCUCCCCAUGCUGCGGGCCCGCGGGAGCGGAGGAAGGAAAGAAGGCAAACGGCGCUGAGUCCCAUUCCCCCCCAACACAGAACCCACGUGGCCAGAAACUCAGAAUCGCCCCGGGACUCAGGGCACCCGAUGCUGGGGGGGAGGGGGGGCCGGUGAGUGCCUGCCACCCCAACCUAAGUGGCCCACCCAGCACUCUGCUUGUUCUGGGACAUGAGACCUGGUUGGAUGAGAGGGGUCGAUCACUUUAAAAGGCUUCAGGGCCCCUGAACCAGUCCAAUCUCCUCUCUCCUCAACUAAAGAAUCCAAGGGUUGGAGCGGGCCAGACCGCCGGGGGACACAGUGGCCGCGCUCUGACCAGGGCCUGGGCCGCUGGGUUCCCUUCUGGUGCCUGCACUGGGGGACGUAGGCCCCAGCCACACCAACGCAUUCCUCUGCCCUUCAUCCCCACCCUGGGGCCUCAGGCCACGGGCAAGCCUCUCAAGGAUAAUAUUUUACAAACUGUAACAGAACCUUUUAUUAAAACACGAAGCCAAAAAUCUAAAACAAA